UAGAAUAUUUAAAAUCCACUAAUGGUCUAUAAACAUUUCCCACUUUGUGGGUUUUAAGUCUAAUAUUAAGUUGUGGAAUACGUGCAUUAUUAAAGUUCAUUAUCUUCUUAUAAUUUUGACUCGUAAACUCUUUUUUAUGUAUUUUCAUUCCUUUUUUUAAUUUCUUCUAUUGGAUCACUAGGUAAAAGCUCAUAUUUAUCAGUAUAUACGCCACGGUUAAAGAUUGUGGAUCGAAUAGAGCUGGAAUUAAUAUGAUAAUGCUAACUUUAUUCAACAUUUUGGUUAAAGAAAAUAGACCUAUCGAUGUCAUAACGGUUAAAGCUGACAUUAUCGAAAACCGAAUACGAUUUGAAAUUCGGACGUAAUUUACCCCAUUUUGGAGAAACGAAAGAAAAAACUCAGUAUUCCAAUUUAGUCAAAUAAACUGCAAUUUUUCUAAUGCAAGUUGCACAAAUAAAGAAACAAUUCUAUUUUUGAAAUUAACUAGAAGUUAUUCAUUUUCUACUUAUGAAGCGGAUAAAAAUAAUUGUUGCAUGAUAAUUUAGCAAAAUGUCAUUCCAUUUAUCAAAAAUGCUAUACUGUACAGUAUAUCAGGGAUUGAUCAUGAUAAUAAUAAAUACAACUUGACUACAUAUUAUAAAGUAAAAGAAUAUGGAAACGUUUAGAUCAAAGAAGCCAGUGGCAAAUCAGAAAUCGAUAGAAGAGAAAAAGGAUAAAGAGAAAGAAACAUAAAAAAUUGGAUUGAACAGAACUCAUAUACAAGUAUUAUAACAUGACACGAUUUACUCGUGUUUAAGUUAUGUUUCUAUUUCGUACCAAGUACGUUUUCUAUAUCCUCAUUUGACUGGUUUCCUGUUUGUAAUAAAAGUUAAU